rnacentral:rRNA from 1 species
ACUGCUCAGUAACACGUGGAUAACCUGCCCUUAGGUCCGGGAUAACCCCGGGAAACUGGGGAUAAUACCGGAUGGAUCACUAUGGCUGGAAUGCUUGUCGGUUUAAAGGUCCCGCCCUUGGAUGGGUCUGCGCCGGAUAAUGUUGACGCCGGGGUAACGUGCCGCCGUGCCUGUAUUCCGUACGGGUUGUGGGAGCAAGAGCCCGGAGAUGGAUUCUGAGACACGAAUCCCGGCCCUACGGGGCGCACCACGCGCGAAAACUCUCCAAUGUGCGCAACUGUGAUAGGGGGACAUCCCAGUGGCAUCCACCUUGGGUGCCUGUCCAACCGUCUAAAAAACGGCUGUUACAAGGGCUGGGUAAGACCGGUGCCAGCCGCCGCGGUAAUACCGGCGGCUCGAGUGGUGGCCGAUAUUAUUGAGUCUAAAGGGUUCGUAGCCGGCUUGACAAGUCUCCUGGGAAAUCCAGCGGCUUAACCGUUGGAAUUUCAGGGGAUACUACCUGGCUUGAGAUUGGGAGAGGUAUGGAGGUACUCGGGGGGUAGGGGUGAAUCCUGUAAUCCUCCGAGGACCACCGGUGGCGAAGGCGUCUACCAGAACAGGUCCGACGGUGAGGGACGAAAGCCAGGGGCACGAACCGGAUUAGAUACCCGGGUAGUCCUAGCCGUAAACGAUGCCCACUAGGUGUCAGAACGGUCGUGAAUUGUCGCGGUGCCGUAGGGAAGCCGUGAAGCGGGCCACUUGGGAAGUACGGUCGCAAGGCUGAAACUUAAAGGAAUUGGCGGGGGAGCAC